ensembl:lncRNA
GCUGGAAGUCAGGUCCUCUCUGUAGUAGUUUAUAAGGUACGGUCAUGAUGGUAUCAAUACUAGAGUAAAUACGGUAAAGGGAGGGGCCAUUGGACCUUCCAGGGUUUGGCUGUUUGAGGGGGUACAGAGUUGGAAUAAACGGACUCACCUUGGCUCUGUGUCUGCGUGUGUUAUUAUAUCUCCACAAAUACUACACUCUUCUAAAUGCUGUGGUGGAUUGCAGAUCAGGAACAGGUGCGAGAGUGGAUAAUGACUGUCAGGUGGGGAACACCCCGCCCCCGCCUCGUUGCCCGGACAACCAGAACACAACACCAGGACAGACAUGGAACAGACGCACCGGGCAAACAUACCAACAAACAACGACGGAAACAACAUGUACAUUGAACAAACAAGAGUCACGGGGAAGGGGGCGUGACAAACAGUGGCAUGUGUGGGAAUCUGACAGUCGUUGGUACAGUAGCUGACUUUCAGUAAGUAGUUCAAACAAAGGUUGGACCUUCUGUUCAAGUCAAUGACAAAUAAAUGACAUCUGUAAUCUUUUAAAAUACAGUGUCAUAUUGGAUUAGUACAGCAGGCUAGAGUCAACUUGUAUUUUAAUACUUCAAAUGUAAAGCUUUUUCCCCCCAAUUUCAAAUGUAGAUGUCAACCAUUGAAAACACUCCCAAAAUAAUGACAAUGUCUUACCUGUGCAAGCUGUUUUUCCAUCAUCAGCUUGCUGAUCUCCUUCUGCAUUGUUUUUAUACUGCAAUCUCUCUGGGUGAGGGUAGUUGUAUAAGCCUCCUCUGCCCUGGACCAGAUUUUCUUCUCCUCUUUCUUCAGCUGAUAUGACAGCAAUGGAACAUGCUGACCCUUAACCAUUCCUCAGCAAGUAAUACUUAUUCUAACUGCCUGGAC